rnacentral:rRNA from 1 species
UACCAGCUCUUCGAGUGGUGUGGAUGUUUAUUGGGCCUAAAGCAUCCGUAGCUGGCUGGGCAAGUCCCCUGUUAAAUCCACCGAUUUAAUCGUUGGAGUGCGGGGGAUACUGUUCGGCUAGGGGACGGGAAAGGCAGACGGUAUUUUCGGGGUAGGGGUGAAAUCCUAUAAUCCCGGGAAGACCACCAGUGGCGAAGGCUGUCUGCUAGAACGCGCCCGACGGUGAGGGAUGAAAGCUGGGGGAGCGAACCGGAUUAGAUACCCGGGUAGUCCCGGCUGUAAACGAUGCAGGCUAGGUGUUUGGGCGGCCACGUGCCGCUCUAGUGCCGCAGGGAAGCCGUUAAGCCUGCCGCCUGGGGAGUACGGCCGCAAGGCUGAAACUUAAAGGAAUUGGCGGGGAGCACCACAAGGGGUGAAGCUUGCGGUUU